rnacentral:rRNA from 1 species
GACGAACGCUGGCGGCGUGCCUAAUACAUGCAAGUAGAACGCUGAAGAGAGGAGCUUGCUCUUCUUGGAUGAGUUGCGAACGGGUGAGUAACGCGUAGGUAACCUGCCUUGUAGCGGGGGAUAACUAUUGGAAACGAUAGCUAAUACCGCAUAACAAUGGAUGACACAUGUCAUUUAUUUGAAAGGGGCAAUUGCUCCACUACAAGAUGGACCUGCGUUGUAUUAGCUAGUAGGUGAGGUAACGGCUCACCUAGGCGACGAUACAUAGCCGACCUGAGAGGGUGAUCGGCCACACUGGGACUGAGACACGGCCCAGACUCCUACGGGAGGCAGCAGUAGGGAAUCUUCGGCGAUGGGGGCAACCCUGACCGAGCAACGCCGCGUGAGUGAAGAAGGUUUUCGGAUCGUAAAGCUCUGUUGUAAGUCAAGAACGAGUGUGAGAGUGGAAAGUUCACACUGUGACGGUAGCUUACCAGAAAGGGACGGCUAACUACGUGCCAGCAGCCGCGGUAAUACGUAGGUCCCGAGCGUUGUCCGGAUUUAUUGGGCGUAAAGCGAGCGCAGGCGGUUUGAUAAGUCUGAAGUUAAAGGCUGUGGCUCAACCAUAGUUCGCUUUGGAAACUGUCAAACUUGAGUGCAGAAGGGGAGAGUGGAAUUCCAUGUGUAGCGGUGAAAUGCGUAGAUAUAUGGAGGAACACCGGUGGCGAGAGCGGCUCUCUGGUCUGUAACUGACGCUGAGGCUCGAAAGCGUGGGGAGCGAACAGGAUUAGAUACCCUGGUAGUCCACGCCGCAAACGAUGAGUGCUAGGUGUUGGAUCCUUUCCGGGAUUCAGUGCCGCAGCUAACGCAUUAAGCACUCCGCCUGGGGAGUACGACCGCAAGGUUGAAACUCAAAGGAAUUGACGGGGGCCCGCACAAGCGGUGGAGCAUGUGGUUUAAUUCGAAGCAACGCGAAGAACCUUACCAGGUCUUGACAUCCCGAUGCUAUUUCUAGAGAUAGAAAGUUACUUCGGUACAUCGGUGACAGGUGGUGCAUGGUUGUCGUCAGCUCGUGUCGUGAGAUGUUGGGUUAAGUCCCGCAACGAGCGCAACCCCUAUUGUUAGUUGCCAUCAUUCAGUUGGGCACUCUAGCGAGACUGCCGGUAAUAAACCGGAGGAAGGUGGGGAUGACGUCAAAUCAUCAUGCCCCUUAUGACCUGGGCUACACACGUGCUACAAUGGUUGGUACAACGAGUUGCGAGUCGGUGACGGCAAGCUAAUCUCUUAAAGCCAAUCUCAGUUCGGAUUGUAGGCUGCAACUCGCCUACAUGAAGUCGGAAUCGCUAGUAAUCGCGGAUCAGCACGCCGCGGUGAAUACGUUCCCGGGCCU